rnacentral:rRNA from 1 species
UACGUAGGGUGCGAGCGUUAAUCGGAAUUACUGGGCGUAAAGCGUGCGCAGGCGGUUAUGUAAGACAGGUGUGAAAUCCCCGGGCUCAACCUGGGAAUUGCAUCUGUGACUGCAUAGCUAGAGUACGGUAGAGGGGGAUGGAAUUCCGCGUGUAGCAGUGAAAUGCGUAGAUAUGCGGAGGAACACCGAUGGCGAAGGCAAUCCCCUGGACCUGUACUGACGCUCAUGCACGAAAGCGUGGGGAGCAAACAGG